GAGUGUGUUGAUGGGAGACACCCUUGAGCCAGUCUGCUGGAGAGAUCAUUAUUCUCUAGUUAAUUGGAGCCAGAAUCAUAAGUGGAUGUGACACUCCUAGGAACUUCAAGAUCGACUUUUUAAACACAUUGGACAGAGAUAAAAAGCAGGCAGAAAUCGGAGAUGAAUCUACACUUAAAAGAUUGGAACUGCACUGUGUUACCUGUGUUCAACCAUAGUAUGGAAGUAUUAAAUGGAAAAUUCCAGAAAUAAAUAAUUAGUAAGUUUUCAAUUGGGUGCUAUUCUGAGUGUGUGAUGAAAUCUUCACCUCCCCACUCCAUCUCACCCAGGACAUGAAUCAUCCCU